rnacentral:rRNA from 1 species
UUAGAGUUGAUCCUAGGCUCAGGAUGAACGCUAGCGGUAGGCUUAACACAUGCAAGUCGUGGGGUAACAUUGGUGCUUGCACCAGAUGACGACCGGCGCACGGGUGAGUAACGCGUAUGCAACCUGCCUGUAACUGGAGGAUAGCCCUUGGAAACGAGGAUUAAUACUGCGUAACAUUAUUGAAUCGCAUGGUUUAAUAAUCAAAUCUACGGAGGUUACAGAUGGGCAUGCGUGCCAUUAGUUAGAUGGUGAGGUAACGGCUCACCAUGACAUCGAUGGCUAGGGGUUCUGCAAGGAAGAUCCCCCACACUGGUACUGAGACACGGACCAGACUCCUACGGGAGGCAGCAGUGAGGAAUAUUGGUCAAUGGAGGCAACUCUGAACCAGCCAAGCCGCGUGAAGGAAGACUGUUCUAUGAAUUGUAAACUUCUUUUGUGGUAGAGUAAAUAUAGCUACGUGUAGUUAUUUGCAAGUAUACCAUGAAUAAGCAUCGGCUAACUCCGUGCCAGCAGCCGCGGUAAUACGGAGGAUGCAGGCGUUAUCCGGAUCUAUUAGGUUCAAAGGGUGUCUAGGCUGCCACAUAAGUCAGGGGUGAAAGUCGGUUGCUCAACAAUCGAAUUGCCUUUGAAACUGUGUGGCUCGAAUAUAGAUGACGUAGGCGGAAUGUGUAGUGUAGCGGUGAACUGCAUAGAUAUUACACAGAACACCAAUUGCGAAGGCAGCUUACCAAACUAUCACUCGACGCUGAAGCACGACAGCGUCGGCUACCGAACAGGAUUCGAUACCCUGGUAGUCCACGC